GACGAACGCUGGCGGCGUGCCUAAUACAUGCAAGUUGAGCGCUGAAGGUUGGUACUUGUACCAACUGGAUGAGCAGCGAACGGGUGAGUAACGCGUGGGGAAUCUGCCUUUGAGCGGGGGACAACAUUUGGAAACGAAUGCUAAUACCGCAUAAAAACUUUAAACACAAGUUUUAAGUUUGAAAGAUGCAAUUGCAUCACUCAAAGAUGAUCCCGCGUUGUAUUAGCUAGUUGGUGAGGUAAAGGCUCACCAAGGCGAUGAUACAUAGCCGACCUGAGAGGGUGAUCGGCCCCAUUGGGACUGAGACACGGCCCAAACUCCUACGGGAGGCAGCAGUAGGGAAUCUUCGGCAAUGGACGAAAGUCUGACCGAGCAACGCCGCGUGAGUGAAGAAGGUUUUCGGAUCGUAAAACUCUGUUGGUAGAGAAGAACGUUGGUGAGAGUGGAAAGCUCAUCAAGUGACGGUAACUACACAGAAAGGGACGGCUAACUACGUG
rnacentral:rRNA from 1 species